AAAAGAAAAACUGCCUGGUAACCUGCUGUAAGUUGAGAUUGUUAUAAAUUGAGGUGUAGAUUUAACGAAGGCAUCAGGCAAUGAUUAAGGUUAUGUGAAAUACUUAUUCUCCAAGAAAGUUAUGUGAGCCUCCUGUUGAGACCUAGCUAUGACUAAUAUGCUGCUUCUUUUAUGUUUAGAAAUAUGACAAAGUCAAGCUAUUUUGUCUCUUGAAAUGGUUUCCUGUCAGCAGGCGCUACUACUGUCUGUUCAUGUGCCACUCUUAAAAUAGUACUAUUUUCAGCAAAGAAGUAGGUGAGAACUUAUUUCUUCAUUCCAUGUAGGAAUUUUUAAUAGUCAAAGGCUUUGGCAAAGUCAGUAGUCAAAGGCAAAGCUAGUGGAGCUGUCUUUAUAACUGACUUUUAUUGUCCUUUUAUUUACUACAGAAAGAAACUGGUUGGUAUAACUGGUUUACUGCUGGCAAGUUGUCCUCAGCUAUUUAUACUCAUAAUUACUUAAAUAAAAGAAUCAGGUGUGUGCAUAUAUAUACUUAUGCAGUCCUUUUUCCCAAGAGGUUUUUUUUCAUUGCUGUUGUUGGAACAUGUUGACUUAAAGCCCUCCUUCCAUUUAUAAGAGAAGAGCAGAUGCUCAGGUGACCAAAUGUUAUGCUAAUUUGACUCGGUCUAAUCAGAGAUAACACACACAGUCAACAGGUGCUAAUGUUGGCCUGUAAAUGGAGAGAACUAGAGACUGACUCUGCUCGAAGCAAAUGACAGCUGUAGACAUUUCCAGAUGCUCAGCUCCUGAUCUUCUCAGUAGGCUUGAGCCAACCCAGGCAGAAUUUCAUAGGCAUAUGAGGUUUUUCUUUAAAGGAAGGAAAUAAUGUAAAGGCUUAAGUACAUCUUCAGAACAGUCUGGAUUGCAGAAAUGCACUUUUGCACGUAUUACUUUGGUUUUCCCCCAUUACAAAUACUAAAGGUUCCAUCUGAUAAUCAUUCAGUCUAGAGUCAAGCUCUGUACUUUAUGCGAUGAUGAGAAGGAAGCUUUCUUGGUAACAUGACUUGUGUAAUGGUUUGCUUGAAAGAAACAAAUUAACACAUUGCCCUACAUCUAUUUUUUUUUUUCCCCAGAGUAUCUCCUGAGUCCUUAAAAUAGUGUUUAAAACCUCAAGGCCUUGAUGGUGUUGGAUUUGGAAAAGAAGCUAGAUCCUGUUACUGAAUGGAAACUUUGGAGAUGCAUAAAAUGGCACCUUCCCUUAACUGAAACAUAUCUGAGCUCUGGGGAUGUAUCCCACUAGAAGGGGUCCAGGUGCUGCUGUGUGACCAUUGUUCAAGGCAGUAAGAAGCAGACUGAAAUUACAGUUGUUUUUGUGAAACACGCACCCUGGUGUAUAGGUAGACAAAAGACAUGAGAUGCAACUUAGAUAAUGUUUCUACGUAACUCAGGAUGGACAGCUUUCCUGCUUCACAACUGCAUGCAUUCUGGUGUUUUCUGACUACGUAUCACAUCUGCUAACUUAGCAUUGGAAUGUUCUGUGAGGAGUAGCUGGGUAAGUUGCAGCACUAAGAGAAUUAAGACUUGUAAAUUCCAUCAAAUUAAAUCACUCCUCAGUGUGGAAAGCCAAGAUAAGUAGACAUUUCUUCAUAUGUUCUUUUUCUGUAUGAAUGAAAAUUCUGCCUGAUUUUGUUUGUUUUUGCAAAGGAAUUUUAUUGUUUUGGUUUUGUGUUUUGUUUUGUUUUUUACUGUUGUUGUUUUCUUGCCCCCAGAGCAGUGGUACUCUGCGGGUUGUUGAAGCUUAGUAAGCAAGAUAAGCUUUGGGAUGCAGCUUUCUAAUCUGUAUUUACUAGUACACGUGCAGGAGAAUGAUGCUGUUUUGCCAUUAGGUGGCAUACCACAGUCAAGAGUUUCCAUUUGUGCUGAAUAAUAUUUAUAUUUAUUUUCCCUUAUAGCUUUUUCAGAAGUCGAGAGCAUUUCAGGGAAAAGAAAACAAAAAAUGCAUCAAGCUGUAGGUUUAGACCACUGGGCAUUCAGCUCCUUAAGUUCCUGCCAGUCAGGUGCCCAUGAUAAAACAAUGGAAUGGGAAACAGGAAAGCUUGCUCUUCAAUGGGCUUCUUCUAAGUGUCUGAAUCUGAGUGGAAUUUUAAGGCCCAAGUUUGCUUCCCAGCGACCGGGAGAACAGCUUCCAAAUGAGAUCCAAGGCAGCUAGCAUGCUAAAUGGGAACACUCUGAUGCAAUGAAAGAUGGAGUGCUGUAGAGAAAUGCAGUUUCAACACAGCCACUAGAAGAGCAUAUACUUCCAAAGCAGGGAUCAUAGUCUCCAUCCCUAUGUGCUCUGUGUCUGUUCAGAGCCCCACUUUCCUAGCUGGGGACCUUGACUCCUUAGCUCAGUCAGACAUGCUUUUAGAUGAGGGGUUGGUCAUUCUGCCCCAAGGCGUGCGUAACAAACCUGCGUGUUGUACAACAGCUCUUACAAGGAAGGCAGAAUGUCCCCACAGAAACACUAUAAAACAGUCAUGCACAGGCCAGGAUGUUGGACUAAAUGAUCUUAGAGGUCUUUUCCAACUUUAAUGAUCAUACAUGAACGGAACAGGAGAGAGCUGAUCCCAUGAAACGCAUGCAGGAGUGUGUAUACCCUCAGCACAGCACCUCCCCCUCUCAUGGGGGGAGACUUUAGGCUUCACCACCUGCUCUGUUCAGAAGCAAAAGGCACCAAUCCUGUCUCAUGUUUUUAAAGAUGGUGCUGUGGGCUGUCUCACUGCCAGAGGAAUGCAGGAAGCUCCUUCCUCUGUUGUUAAAAAACCAGGUUUACUUGGUUAUUAAUGUAUGCUUACAGAGGUGCUAGCAUCUCUGAUACAGCUAGCAGUUGCAGUUUUUAAAAAACAAACACAAAAUACUGGACCUCGUUCUCAUCUUUUCCCUAAAAUCCAGUAUCCUUACCUCCUAACUAACUUCAACUGUGAUCACACAAAUAGACUGGUUUCAAAGAACAGGGAGCAGACAGCUUGGGAGUGCUGGGAUUCAGGGCCUCACUGUACAGGGAAAGGCCCAAAUCUCAGCAUAAUAUGAGGGAAAUUUGAGAAACAGAUAUGCGAGUAAUAAUCAGUUACUGUUUUCAUAUGCUGGGCUUUAGGUUAUUUUCUUAUCUGACCUAUGCUAGUGGCUAUGAUAACUUCUAGGGCAGCAGCAUCAGAGAUCAAACUAUAGACAGAACUAAACCUCUUCAGCGCUGUGUCUGAAUCUGAAUGCUGAAUGCUCAGUCCUGGGCUGCCUGCUGUCUGCAGCAGUGCCUGCAGAGCUGCCUCUGCAUCUCUGGGGGCUGAUGACCUGUGCUCGCUAAGUAAUGUGCAGGAGGGUCUGACUGCACCGGGAGAUACUUAGUGAAAACUGUAUUGAAGCAGAAUGUAAAUGAUUGUUUUCCCAGCAAAGCCGAAUCAUUCCUUGUAUGGGUUAGUAUAGGGAUGGGUAUCAUUGGUCUGAUUGUUCCUCAAAUGCUUUUCCAUUUUUUCUCAGCAGUAUGUAAUGUGGCAUUAAUGCACAGCUCAUGUCAGUGGAUCCUUCUUGCCCCAAUUUCAUAUUUUUUUGGUGGGAGAUACCCAAGGCAAAGACAGCUCCUGUUAUGAAACCUUCCAGAAGGCCUCUGAAAUUCAGGGUACUUCCCAAAACUUCGGCACUUCAUUUUCAGUAAAAGUCAACGUAAAGGUCUUUCAUUUUUGUGGAUAAUGUGAUGUCUGCCUGAAAUGACAAAUAUGAAUAUAGUGGGUUGGUUCAGUACUGCCUGGAAAUUUAAUUACAGGGGAAAGAAAAUAUUGAGUACCUUUAAACUCACCUUGAGUUCACGCAUCAGUAAUUGACAGUGUCUAGACAGAUGGUGAUCUGGAAAGUAAAGUCUGGGGAAAAUAAAUGUGCAGAUAUUAAAGUCGGCUGCACUUCCCCAUGGCAAUGAAGUGGAAAGAGCUUCUUAAACGUGUGUGGGGAGGGGAGGUGACAACUUUUGUAGAGCCACCAAAGCAGUUGCCAGCAUUUCCAUGUGGAGCCUCCUCCCUCUCUAAGGACUGUGUCUUCUUAAAAAUUCCACAUAAAAAAGCAAGGUCUGUAGAACCUGAAAAACUACAGCAAAAAGCAACCUGAUGAUAAGGUGAAAAUUUAUCUGGGUAUCUGCAAAGCCCCAAAUCAAGUUUUUCUUCUUUCCUUUCUAGGGACCCUAAUUUAGAAAGGUAUUUGUGAGACCCAAAUUGUAUUGUGGAUCACAGCCUGUUUUUACCAUCCCUCACUGGAGCAAAGCAAUCGCAGUGGGAUGCACUGCUGAUCGGUGUGUGAUCUCUGAGCUGUGCCAUAGCAGUGAUUCUGAUUACCCUUCUUUUUUUAUUAUUUUUUAUUUUUAGAAGCCUUUGUGUUACGGAUACGUUCAGGGCGGUGCCCAAGCCACCCACUUUGCAGACGGAGAUGAUCUUUGCCUUCAGGAAGAUGUGUGUGAGCUCAGCUUUCUCUUGUUAUGCUUCAGAGCUUUCCAGAAGCCCAGGCCUGGAAGCAGGCUUGACUCUUUCAGUAGACAAGAUCCAGACACAAAAUAACUUUUGUCUUGGAAUCUGAAGGAGAGUUAAGCUGUGGUCAUGCAGCUGCUGCUGAUUGUGUGCAGGAACAGUGAGUUUGGUGGGGGUAGUUUCAAAUUCCUACAGCUCUGUUCCUACAACGAGCAAAGAGCCUGCACUGUUAGGAUAAAGUAAAUCAGGACUUUCUGGAUCACAACUGUAGCUUAAAAAUUACAUUCAUUUCCUUGAUAAGAGUUUCUCAGAAGAACUACUUCUACUGACUCUCGCUUCUAAUGCCACUUUGCCAUUUGCAGUGCUGGGAUGGUAGUGUUUCUGGAAAACAACCUGAGCAAGGAUUUCAGUUACAGGCUUUUUUGCUCCCUUGAUGUAAGUCUGUGCUUAGCUAUCAACAGCACUAAAAUAGAAUAGGAGUUGGAAAGACUAUAGUUAUCAUGGAAAUGGAGGGACUACUUUAUUGGAAAAAAGACCAUGUUACAUAGUUUAUCUGGACAGUGACAGCCUCUUGUAGAAGCAGCAUUGUCUGUGCUGCGUUCACUCUGCAGUGAACUGGUAAGAGAUAUGCUUGGAUUCCCAGCCCUGUAAAUGCAGAUUGAUAUUUAGCCAUCUCCCUGUUUAUUUAGCCUGACAGUUCCCAUUAAUAACUCUUGAACUUGCUGACCAACUUCAAAAUAAAUUUGACCAGUUAUACAGUUCUCAUGCAAAUGCCCACAGAUGGCGUUCAAAAGUAUCUAUUUAGAAAAACUUGAAGUUUAUUGCUGCUGAAUGAGGUUUUCUUCUUACUUGAAUAGGUCAUCAGAGUGAUGAACCAAUUAGAAACAGUGAAGUGGUCCCUUGGCACCCGAGGGUAUCUUUGUUGGGAAAGCAUUAGUUUUACAGGAAAGAGCUAUAAGAUGGAAAUAAAACCAGAACACACUUCACUUGGCCUUGAGGGAAAAUCUCUGCCUCCAGAGGCCCUGUUCUGCUGGGGGCAGUGGCCAAGUGCUGGGUGUCCUCCUUGAUAUCACACUCUUCCUGUCACUGCUGUGACAUGCAGAGGAAAUCUACUAGUAUGGCAAACAGCUUUGCAAGACAACGGUAUUUACAAUAUCCACAGAAGUUUGUUUAGUUGCAGCUGUGUGUACUGACAGCAGUGAGGCACAGCUGCCAUAUGUGUGUGUGGCCUAAGCAUUGAGCAUCUCCUGUGGAAGUACCAAGGAGAUGGUUACUCACUAGCCUCAUGGUUCUGGCCUUUGCCUGACAGUUUCCAUCAAGCACAGAAAGCAGCAAGCAAAGAGGA